GGCAAGUCUGGUGCCAGCAGCCGCGGUAACUCCAGCUCCAAUAGCGUAUAUUAAAGUUGUUGCGGUUAAAAAGCUCGUAGUUGGAUUCCUGUCUUCGGCCGGGCGGUGCCGCCCGAUAAUCAAGGGCGUCGCACUGCCUUGGGAGCGUUGGUGUCAAAGCCGCGCUCUUUUAACGGUCGGACAAUACCACCGGAGUGGCGGGGGAUAGGCGUCGGCUCUCGCAGUUCGGCGCCGAAGGACCGCCCGUAAUCGUCCGAGGUGCCUUUAACCGGGUGUCUCGGGCGGCCGGUAACGUUUACUUUGAACAAAUUAGAGUGCUCAAAGCAGGUGCAUACCUUCGCCUGAAUAUCACAGCAUGGAAUGAUGGAAUAGGA
rnacentral:rRNA from 1 species